rnacentral:rRNA from 1 species
AAUGAACGCUGGCGGCAGGCCUAACACAUGCAAGUCGAGCGGAUGAAGGGAGCUUGCUCCUGGAUUCAGCGGAGGACGGGUGAGUAAUGCCCAGGAAUCUGCCUGGUCGUGAGGGAUAACGUCCGGAAAGGGGCGCUAAUACCGCAUACGUCCUGAGGGAGAACGUGGGGGAUCUUCGGACCUCACGCUAUCAGAUGAGCCUAGGUCGGAUUAGCUAGUUGGUGGGGUAAAGGCCUACCAAGGCGACGAUCCGUAGCUGGUCUGAGUGGAUGACCAGCCACACUGGAACUGAGACACGGUCCAGACUCCUACGGGAGGCUGCAGUGGGGAAUAUUGGACAAUGGGCGAAAGCCUGAUCCAGCCAUGCCGCGUGAGUGAAGAAGGUCUUCGGAUUGUAAAGCACUUUAAGUUGGGAGGAAGGGCAGUAAGUUAAUACCUUGCUGUUUUGACGUUACCAACAGAAUAAGCACCGGCUAACUUCGUG